GCGCAUCGGUGAGGGUGUUGUGUCGCCCUCUCUCGGUAGUUUCUCCUUUCGGUGUAUGCGUGUGUGCGUACUUAGGGGAGCGAUUGUACCACGCGAGUCGUACCACGUUGUCCUUUCCCUACGUUCCUUUUUCUUUUCGUUUCGAUUCGUGCCUGACUGGGACACGCGUUAAUAACGAACAAUUAACAAACAACCGAGCCUUCAAGGUAAAAAUAAUACGAGAUCAUUCGAGUUCCAUACCAAGCGACACAAUUCUUAGAUAAUUUUUCGCAUUCCUUAUUUACCUACUUUUAACCAGUCGGUAACGGAGCAAAGGUAGUUCGUAAGUGCGCAACGUAGCAUCUUUUGAAUUUUAUACAUUGGUACCACUGUUGCCCGUUAUAACGUCAACGUUUCAAAUUCUCACACCGACCGCGAAUUUCGGUCGUACGUUUGUGCUGGUGUACAUUCUCUGGAUUCACGCGUAACGUAGUUUAGACCAGUAAAUUUCAAGUAAUUGGACAAAUGAAAUUGGUCAUAUACGAGUGUGGUCACAUACGAGUAUAGUCGCAUACGAGGUGUCAACAACUUCAAUGAUACGAACUGUCAACAUACUCACCGAGUGCUCCAUUUUGAAUCGCCGGCCAGCGGUCCGAUUUUGGGUAGACUCGUGCUCGCGCGUUCCCACUGGUAAACUAGAUUUGUCCUUUCCCUCGUGCUCCCGAAUUCGACAAUCAUUCGAAAGAAUAUUGAACGCCAUUGAACGUUCGGUUCUGUUCCCAGUCGGAGCGCGGACACAGUGAAUAGCACGCGUAUUUAUUGUCGACGCGACGCGACGCGUAGCUCGAACUACGAUCGUACUCACUGGAGUAUGGGGUGUGCGGGAGAUAGAUCGUCUUCGGCGUAAUCUGGCGUUGACACGACCUAGCCUAACACAACUUUUGUUUGGGACAACGGUCGGUGACUCCAUUCCGUCAUCUAUACCACCACGGUUUCGUCUUCGCGGUGCUCUCUCACUUCGUGUGUGUGCCUACUUUUCUGGAGUGUACGCGACUACCUCGAGCAGCAACGAGACAAACUUCACGCGUUUACCCGGUAUUCCAAUCUUGGCGGACGAAGAUGCAGUGAGACGUCGGACACGUCGAGGCGCGGUCGAUACGCAGUAUCUUUCUCGCCAGCGAGGUAAACAACAAUACGACACGUCGUGCUCCAAGCCAGCUCCACGCGAUAACUUUCUCACCUUCGAAUAAAGCGAACGUUCGUACCAGCAACGAUUACGCUCGCAUGCCGGACAAAGCAGCUUCUUUAUGGAGAGAACGGCGAACGCCGCAC